UACAUGGGGUGCAAACGUUGCUCGGAAUCAUUGGGCGUAAAGCGCACGUAGGCGGUUCGUUAUGUCGGAUGUGAAAGCCCUCGGCUUAACCGGGGAAGUGCAUCCGAAACUGGCGAGCUUGAGUACUAAAGAGGGUCGCGGAAUUCCCGGUGUAGAGGUGAAAUUCGUAGAUAUCGGGAGGAACACCAGCGGCGAAGGCGGCGACCUGGGUAGAUACCGACGCUGAGGUGCGAAAGCGUGGGGAGCAAACAGG
rnacentral:rRNA from 1 species